rnacentral:rRNA from 1 species
UGCAGCGUUGUCGGAUUAUUGGGUUUAAGGGUGCGUAGGCGGAUUAUUACGUCAGUGGUGAAAGUUUACGGCUCAACCGUAAAAGUGCCAUUGAUACUGGUAGUCUUGUAGUACAGUAGAGGUAGGCGGAAUUUAUGGUGUAGCGGUGAAAUGCAUAGAUACCAUAAAGAACACCGAUAGCGAAGGCAGCUUACUAUACUGAGACUGACGCUGAGGCACGAAAGCGUGGGGAGCGAACAGGAUUAGAUACCCUGGUAGUCCACGCUGUAAACGAUGAAGACUCGCUGUUGGCGAUACACAGCCAGUGGCCAAGCGAAAGCGUUAAGUCUUCCACCUGGGGAGUACGAUCGCAAGAUUGAAACUCAAAGGAAUUGACGGGGGCCCGCACAAGCAGCGGAGCAUGUGGUUUAAUUCGAAGCAACGCGAAGAACCCUACCAGGUCUUGACAUUUUCUGAUUGAUCCAGAGAUGGAUAGUUCCCUUCGGGGACAGAAGGACAGGUGGUGCAUGGUUGUCGUCAGCUCGUGUCGUGAGAUGUUGGGUUAAGUCCCGCAACGAGCGCAACCCUUGUAUUUAGUUGCCAUCAGGUAAAGCUGGGCACUCUAGAUAGACCGCCGUAGACAAUACGGAGGAAGGUGGGGAUGACGUCAAAUCAUCAUGCCCCUUAUGACCUGGGCUACACACGUGCUACAAUGGUCUGAACAGAGGGCAGCGAAACAGCGAUGUGAAGCCAAUCUCAAAAAACAGAUCUCAGUUCGGAUUGCAGGCUGCAACUCGCCUGCAUGAAGUCGGAGUUGCUAGUAAUCGCGGAUCAGAAUGCCGCGGUGAAUGCGUUACCCGGGCCUUGUACACACCGCCCGUCACACCACGAGAGUUGGCAACACCCGAAGUCAGUGAGCGAACCGUAAGGAAGCAGCUGGCGAAGGUGGGCUAGU